rnacentral:rRNA from 1 species
AGCAGCCGCGGUAAUUCCAGUUCCAAUAGCGUAUAUUAAAGUUGUUGCAGUUAAAAAGCUCGUAGUUGAAUUUCGGGAUCAAGGAAUCGGUCAUGCCUCGGUAUGUACUGGUUUUAUUGGUUCUCACCUUCUAAAGAACCAUGAUGUCAUUCAUUUGAUGUUAUGGGGAAUUAGGACUGUUACCUUGAAAAAAUUAGAGUGUUUAAAGCAGGCUCACGCUUGAAUACAUUAGUAUGGAAUAAUGAAAUAGGACGUUUGAUUCUAUUUUGUUGGUUUCUAGGAUCGACGUAAUGAUUAAUAGGGAUAGUUGGGGGCAUUAGUAUUCAAUUGUCAGAGGUGAAAUUCUUGGAUUUAUUGAAGACUAACUACUGCGAAAGCAUUUGCCAAGGAUGUUUUCAUUAAUCAAGAACGAAAGUUAGGGGAUCGAAGACGAUCAGAUACCGUCGUAGUCUUAACCAUAAACUAUGCCGACUAGGGAUCGGAUGAUGUUAAUUUUUAAUGACUCAUUCGGCGCCUUAAC